AUGUAGUGUAGCAUGCCCGUUUGGUGAAUUACUCUGAUGUAUAUUUUAUAUUUAAUUACUUUUGGGUAACGGGGUGUUACACACCUUCA
rfam:Medicago truncatula strain A17 chromosome 4, whole genome shotgun sequence.